AAUCAACGCUGGCGGCGCGCCUAACACAUGCAAGUCGAACGAGAAAGCCCGCAAGGGUGAGUACAGUGGCGUACGGGUGAGUAACACGUGGAUAAUCUACCCUCUAGUGGGGAAUACCGUUGGGAAACCGACGACAAUACCGCAUAAGCUCGAGAGAGGAAAGCAGCAAUGCGCUGGAGGAGGAGUCCGCGGCUGAUUAGCUAGUUGGUGAGGUAAAGGCUCACCAAGGCUUAGAUCAGUAGCCGGCCUGAGAGGGCACACGGCCACACU
rnacentral:rRNA from 1 species